UGUUGUAGAAAACUGAACUAGGUGUGGCAGAUGUAGAACGGUACCAAGUAUGGAUAAGAGCACGAGAAAAGAGGAAGGUUCUUGUCACAGAUUUGGACAAACAAAUUGAAGCAAGAAUUAAUGAGCUGAAAGAAAAAGUUAGUAGUGGAGAAAUCAUUGCAAAGGGUCGGAAUGACAUAUUAACGCAAGCUUUAGGGACACCUGAGCACCCAGGGCGUGUUAGAGCACUUGGGUCGUUUGCGAAGAUUUCGUCCGUCUUUGGAAGAAAACCAAAAAUAGCAACAGAAAUGGCUGAUGUUGUUAGUAAGAAAGAUGCAGAAAUUGCGAGGCUCAAAGCAGAACUUAAAGCUUUAGAGGAGGAAAAAUCUAAACAAGCAGGUGGGAUAGAUGAUAUGGAUGAACACGACAAUGAUGACGAGCAGAGCGACGAAGAAUACCACACACCGUACAUGCAGGAUGUGUUACUUUGUUCGGAUAAUAUUCAUAAUGUGGUGGCAGAGGGUGUUAUCAUUGAUGGGGUGGGUCCACUGACUAUUCAUGGUGUUCAACUGACAGACGAAUACGCGAGGGUGCGAGUCACCAAAAUGUUACAAGAGGAUGCUGAAAUCCCAUGUUCUGUUGGGGAGAUACACUAUG